AAAACUAUUAGCUGACUACAGGCUGCACUCCUUCCAGGAUAUCUAAACCCUUCUUUUCUGGGUGAUAAAACUAAAGAGGCCGCCUUGUACCUCGUCACACACAAUUUAGCUCCUGGUUUUUUUACAUAUCCUGCUAAUGAUGACUCUCGUGUUGAGGAAGAUGCUUCAAAACAUAUCUAAAUUUGUAGGUCAAAUACUAUCUAAAUAAGACCUGUCAAUUGUGUGCUUUUUUAUGUGUGCCUUUCAUGAAUUUCUCCUUUCAUUUUGUUGUGAGUGCAGAUCAUUUGCUUCUCUUGUAUCAGUUAUAUGUGUAAUGCUUUAAAUAAUAAGAAGCAAAUUAAAUAUCAGUUUCUUUUCUAUACAUUUUUAUGUCAAUGAUCACCUUUAUUUAUUAGACUUGAUUUUCGCUUUCAAUCAACAGACAUUAUUAAUGUGAAAAUAUUGUAUUUUCUGUUAACUCAGAACAACAUAUAUUUCAUAUCAAAAAAAAAGAAUUAUUUUCUAUUUCUCUGGGUAUUUCAAACAAAUCACAUAUUUUCAAUGACCUUAUAUAUCACCACGGUUUUUGUAAUCACAUCUGGUGUAAAUUUUAAUCAUUUUAUCAUGGUUCUUGUUGUCAACCAUGGUGAAAGAAAGGAAAUGGGUAGAAAUGGAUGGAUUUAUUUAUUGGGAAAAUACUCGACGUUGGAUCGAGUUUUUAUUUUUGAUCUUUUGGAAAUGGUUGAUUAUAUUCUUGUGUUAGCAGCUAGCUAAACAAUUAAGCAAAUAAAGAAAUAAAACAGUAAAGUUAUUACACAUCAUGAGAGUGGGGGUACAUUUUGUCGAAUGGGGAUUCAAGAUAAUGAAAUAAUUAAAUCGGGCCCAAACAACAAACAAACAAUGCAUGAGUGUAGGUGCGAGAGAACGGUCUCAUUUUAAGAAAGCCCAAGAGUAAACUAUGUGAGGUUAAUGACGAUGCUUAAAAGCAAUCGACUUACAAGGGUAUGGAAGUGGAAAUUCAAGAUAAUGAGACAAUUAAAUUGGGCUCGAACAACCAAUUCAUGAGUAUAGGUGUGAAAGAACGUCUCAUUGUAAGAAAGCCCAAGAGUAAGCUAUAUGAAGAAAGCAACAAACACAAAGUUAUAUUUACAAGAUAAUAAAAAAUUAAAUCAAAAGGAGUAAAAUCGGGACGUGCACGGAUUAAAACCAGGAUGCGAGGAUGCGAAUCGAGGUCACAUAACGCAAAGACGUGCAAGGCGAAUGAAAAUUGAAAAACAAACAAAACCCUAGAUAAUGUGCUCAAAUCCUGUUUGUGCAUAUUGACAAUAAUCGAAAUGUCGUAUGCGAUGAAUUAAAAUGCGGCGAAAAUAUCUAUCAAUGUAUCAAAUAUAAAAAAAAAUCUGGCGGCAUAACGUCAUGAAAAUAUCGGAUUCGUGGAUUAAAAUCUGACUUUUGAGCAAUGAAGAUAAAAAACAAAAACUUAAAAUUAUAUUAAUACCUACAAGUCUACAAUUUCAAAGGUUAACAAACAAAAUCUUGCAAAAAUCACAACAACAAAAAGAAAGCCUUCUAACAAUUCGAUUGUCAAAAAUAAAAAUAAUUAAUUAGCUAUAUUAUAUUUACAAAGAAUAAUAACUAGAAUUAUAUUUAAGAAAGUAAAGUGGAAAAAAAAAUGGGGUGCAAAUAUAAUAGGGGGUUUUAGCCAAAUGAAAUCUAGCUUGGCCCUAUAUCAGAUUUAAAUACUCCUAAACCCCCAAUUAAAAUGAAAUCUUCGUGUCGUUUCCUCGCUUCUCAAUUGGCAGCCACGAUCGGCGAUAAUCGGAGCUCGCAGCCGCGGUCAGAGAUUCGUCGGCGGUACAGAUCUGAGACGGCGAUGGUAGGUAACGAUCGUGUAGUCAGACGCGAAUUUUUUCCGACUCCCUUUCUAUUCUUCUCUCAGUCUGAUUUUUGUGAACAUUUGUUGUGUUGUUGCCGUGUUAUUUGGGUGUGCCAUGGUAUAUUGGUUUGUGAUUGUUGUUCGGCGGUAAUGGUGGCGGAAUGGCUGUGAGUUGCCAAUGGUGGUUCGAGGAGCGAGUUCGGAGUUGAUUCGUACGGAGGAGCGAUGAAAAUGGAAGAUGGUGUUAGUGGUUGUUGCCGGUAGGGACAUCUGCGUGCUAUCGGUGGGACGGCGGAAGGGUUUUCAAUUGAAACGUGAGGAGGGAGGUUUUCUGUGUUUUUUAUGCAGAAGAGAGAGAUUUCCAAAAUGUUCCCUUGUCUUUCUUUUAUUUCUGAGUGAUAAAGUCGUUGUAAUCCAGUGGUCCCUCUCCUCCCUUUCGUCGUUUUUCUUUUUUUUCCUUAAAAAGCUCAGCAGCAAGCCUUUACUAGAGAGUCCUCCAC
rnacentral:lncRNA from 1 species